rnacentral:rRNA from 1 species
ACGAACGCUGGCGGCGUGCCUAAUACCUGCAAGUCGAACGCUUCUUUCCUCCCGAGUGCUUGCACUCAAUUGGAAAGAGGAGUGGCGGACGGGUGAGUAACACGUGGGUAACCUACCCAUCAGAGGGGGAUAACACUUGGAAACAGGUGCUAAUACCGCAUAACAGUUUAUGCCGCAUGGCAUAAGAGUGAAAGGCGCUUUCGGGUGUCGUUGAUGGAUGGACCCGCGGUGCAUUAGCUAGUUGGUGAGGUAACGGCUCACCAAGGCCACGAUGCAUAGCCGACCUGAGAGGGUGAUCGGCCACACUGGGACUGAGACACGGCCCAGACUCCUACGGGAGGCAGCAGUAGGGAAUCUUCGGCAAUGGACGAAAGUCUGACCGAGCAACGCCGCGUGAGUGAAGAAGGUUUUCGGAUCGUAAAACUCUGUUGUUAGAGAAGAACAAGGACGUUAGUAACUGAACGUCCCCCGACGGUAUCUAACCAGAAAGCCACGGCUAACUACGUG